AUAUACAGAUAACAGCCUGAGUGUGUUCAUUUUACUAAAAGAGGAGCACUGGUGUUAUGAAAAGACAUAAAUGGUGACCAUCACUUAGAAGAGUGGUUUGCAAACUUGUCCUUUUAAACUUAUUUUUGAAUGUGACUCACAGUAAAAAAAAUAUACUUUCUUUCAUCACCAACACACACACAUACACACACAAAUUUAUAAAAUAGUACUUUACCUUAACUGCAUGUAAUGCAUUAUAUAUCCCAUCCCACCCAUCCCGAUUCAUGCCAUAGCAUUACUACCUGCUGAAAAAUACUCGUUAUAGACACACUGAAUAGAUUUUAUAAUACACUAUGGGCCAUGAUUUAUAAUUUGGAAAUUACUGAUUGAAAGAUAGCAGGUAAAGCUUCCUGGAGAGUAUAAACUAUAAACUAUAGACUUAGACUAAGAAAAUAAGGAGAAGGUAGUUAGGUAAAAAGUAGGGGAUGGGAGGCAGUGCAAAAUUGUGUUCCAGGCAGAGAAAACAGAGGUGUGGAUCCCUGGAAUUGGAAAGGAAUUUGGUGAGAUUAGGAAACUGAGAGAAGGGACAGUGUAGCUGGAAUACAUUGGCAGAGUGGGAGAGUGAUGAGUGAAUCUAUAUGCAUAUAACUCAAAGCUGUGUAGACUAUAUUAAUAAUGAAUUUUUUGAAGGAAACUAAUGGAGGAGGGAGUGGUGUUGACUUGAUCAGAUUGGUUUCAUGAACAGGUCAACCUGAAGGCAGGGUGGGGAAGAAUCUGAAGGGGGCAAGAAGAGCAGUUAAGAGGUUGUUGUAGUGAGCUGGGUGAGAGAGACGGUAGUUUAGAAUAGGCCAGAGCAGAAGGGUUAGAAGAAAGUAGAUGAGAUCAAGAUAUAUUUAGGAAACAAAACAAGAAGAUUUGGCGAUGCAUUGGCUGUGAAGAGGCAGUGAAGUAGAAUGAUGGGUUAACAACAACAGUUAUAAUAAUUGCUAACAUUUUAUAAUAGUUACUAAGCAUCAGACACUUUUCUGAGCAAUUUAUGUGUUAAAUUUGGCUUUCAAACAUUUUUCUGAAUGCAACCCACCUUAAGAAAUCUAUUUUAUGUUAUCAUACACACACAUGUAUUUAUAAAACUGCACCUCUCAGAUUUCUGGCUUAACAAUUCAGUAGAGGCUAGUGCUAUAAACUGAAAUAAAGAAUAAUGGAGAAGUCGGUUUUUUGGAGGAGAAAUGAGGGAUGAUGAGUUUGAUUUUGGAUAUCAUGAACUUUAGAUGUCUCUAUGUGGAUCUGAGCUCAGAAGAAUUAUUUGGGCUAUAGAUAAAACAUUUGGGAGUGAUCAGUGCAUAGAUUAAAAUUAAAGCUUAUGGGCUGAAUGAGAUCAUCUGGGCAGAGACAACAGAGUGAAAAGAAAAUGAGGUCUAGUUUAGAGCCUUAUACAAGUCAAAUAUUAACAGUCAAACUGAGAAGGAAGUGGAAAAAGGAGCUGAAAAGAGUGACCUAAGACAGAGGAGAAAGUCAGGAAAGAGUGUGGUCACAGAAUUGAGGUGUUUUGUUUGUUUCCUAGUAAAAUGAUGAGUAUAUUAGAAUGAGUAAUGAACUGUGUCAAAUGUUUCCGUAAAGUCAAGUAAAGUAAUAGUAAUAAAAGUUCCCUCUGGAUUUAGAACAUGCUUGUUGAUGGUGACCUCAGUGGGAGGUGAUCUCUGUGGUGGAGUGUGUCAGGGUUGUAAAUGUGUGACUUAAACAAAUUGUCUUUAAUCUAUGAUUAGGUAAAGUUCACAUGCUAACAUGCUUUUAAGGUAAUGUUCCCAUUUUUGGAUAGUUAAAAGCCUAGUCAAAAUUACGGUUUGGCCCACAAAGUCUGAGGUUGGAGCUCUGUCAACUGCAAAGACUUACUCUUCCAUCACAGUAGGGAUAUGAAUGAGAAGAACCACAGCACACUGAAGACAACAGUAAAGUAAGGAGAGUCUCGUAACAGCACGAAGGAAAAUUUACAGGAGCUGAGGAAUGAGAAGGAGUUGAAGGCAUGGAGAGUGGAGGAGUGAGGAGAGAAGAAGCUGUCGUACAAGAUCGCACUUGGAAUUCAUUUGCAUAGCUUUACAAUGGACGCCAUGACUCCCAACACAGAUCUACUGUUGUAUAACUUGCAAUGAAAAAGUGAACUUUGUGAAGAGGGUGGAGGUAAGAAGAUGGAUUUAUUGUUGAAUAAAAGAGUUCAAAGUUUCUUUUCUUUUGUCAGGGAGCAACUGAUGUUCACAGAGAACUCUUGUGAUCUUAGAUGAGCCCAAAUCUCCAAGAAGACAGAUCCUCUUUACUCCCACGCACACAACAAAGAGAAAGAUUACCAAGACAUGACUUACAAAGGAGAUGGCCUGAAACUGGUGUUGGCAGCUUGUUCCCUCACCCACCCAAAGCAAUAAAGGGAUUAUAGUCGGAGAGGCUGGGCGGUAGGAGAUAGAAGACGUCUCACAGUUGGUGUGCUCUGUGUUCUUCCCCUUCCCCAAGGUAGAGAAGUGUGUGCAUGUGUUGGGCUGGUGGAUUGUUUUCUUCUCAUCUCAAAUCUAUUAAGAAGCACUGCAUGAAAACCUCGCGGAGAUACAGAUCUGUGUAUCCGUGGUCUGGAGAACAUGGAAGCUGAGGCAGGAGCCGCUUGCCAGGCAACUAAAUAAAAAGAAAGGAACAAGGAAAAUGAGGGAGUGAAAGCCAUUUUAUGGAAUCUGUUCCAUGGAACGGGAGCUGUGCUCCAUAGAGUCCUCGACGUCCAGGAGGAGGGUGCCUGUGGUUCAGAUAGAUAUUUUUGGCAAUGUUCUGCGAAGUUGGAAAAACAUCGCUCUGUGGGUUUCUCAGAAACAUUUGCAAUUUUUCUCCUAUGCAUUGUGCUAGUAGCAACUUCUAAUCAGCAGGAAACCGGGCAUGAGCGAUUUAUCCAUUAAGUGAGUCAUUUGAGACCCCUUGCUAUAAAAUCCUAUGCUUAUCCGGAUGUGGUACAGAAUGUGAAGCAUCUUUAUCCAGCUGAGAUUUGCCUAGAGCCUCCCAGUACAUAGUGGUAUAUUCUUUGUUGUGGCUCCUUCUAGUUGUGGCAUGUGGGACGCCGCCCCAGCGUGGCUUGAUGAGCAGUGCCGUGUCAGCGCCCAGGAUUCAAACCAACGAAACACUGGGCCACCUGCAGCAGAGCGCGCAAACUUAACCACUCGGCCACGGGGCCAGCCCCCCAGCUCACUUUUUGAGGAAGGUUGGAUUAUAUUAAGUUGUAGGUUCCUCUGGUUGUGCUAUGUGGGAUGCCACCUUAGCAUGGCUUGAUGAGCGGUGCCAUGUCUGCGCCCAGGAUCUGAACCGGUGAAACCCUGGAUCACCAAAGUGGAGCAUGAGAUCACUCAGCCACGGAGCUGACCCCUGUGUAAAGAAUUUUGUGUGGACAUAAGUUUUCAACUCCUUUGGUAUGGUGGAGUGUAGAUAGGCCUGGUCCCUGCCUAGCCUUGAAGAAGACUGGAAGCUCCCUUGGUCUUUUGGAGUCCUGAGCUACCAGGUAAGAAGAAGACUUCCCUGUGGGGAGAACAAAUGGAGAGGCCUUGAGACUUGGUGGGGAGGAAGAGGGCUCCAGCCAAGUUUAGGCUUCUAGCCAUCCCUGCCAAGGAACCAGGGAUGUGAAUGAAGCUACCUUGGACAAUCAAGACAAGUGGAGCUUCCAGUUGAGAGAGACUGGAGUCAAUACCAUAUGGAACAGAAGAAUCACUCAUCGGUCUCACCCUCUUAAGUUCCCGACCCCCAAAAUUGUGAGAUAUUAAGAUUGUUGUUUUUGUCACUAAAAUUUAGACCAGUUUGUUACGCAGCAAUAGAAAAUAAGAAGAAAUGCUCAUCUUGAAUUUUUUUGAUUCUUUUAAUGUAAUGAAUUGCCUUCAUUGGAAAGAAUAUAUGUGCAAAUCCUAAGAGUAAAGACUAAGAAAUCGUUUUUUUUUUUUUAAACUUUGGAACAGGAAAUCAUGACCAGGCAGACUAAGGUAAGAAACAACAGAAUAAACAUUCAAUAGUGAAAUUAGGAAAAGAUCUCAGCAUUAAUAACAACAACAAAAAUCUUAUUGCUAGACAUAUUAAUUAUAUUGAUUGGAACUGACUGACUAAAGAACACUGUCUCAGUGUUAUAACAACAUUUUGUUUCUUUGAAAUGACAUACUACCUUUAAUUAUAGGAAAAUUAUAACUCAUAAUGGAAUUUGUUUUGUGCAACUGCUUGCCGUUAAGUGCAGACCACAUAGAACUUUCUAAAGGUCUGUCUCACUUUGAAUACUUUAAGGAAAUAAAGCAUAAAACGUAAAGAACUCCUGUUAUAUUUUACCCUAAUCAAGUCCCUAACUAAUGAAAUUAAUGAUUAAUCAUUAGUUACUCAUGGUAGAAGACACUAAAAUUUUAUCAGGGAGAGAAAAUGAUCAAAAGUAGUCUUCAUUUUCCAUCAAAAACGCCAACCCACAUUAAAUAACAUGCUUACAGCUAAAUGUUGCAUAUCAUUUUUAAAGUUUAGAAAUUAAAAAAGGUCAGAUAGCUUCCUCAGAAAAUAUGACAAUAUUAAAACUCCGUUCAGAAAUUGAUAAAGAUUAAAAUUCUGAAUAGGCGGUGAAAGUUUUCCUGUACCAUCAAAGAUUUUAAUUGACUGAGUCUUCAUAUAGAUAUUCAUUAGGCAACUAUUUUUUAUUACUUCAAGAGAGCAUAGUUACAAUUAAACUGAGAUGACCUUUCCGUUUCGGGAUGGCUUAUUCAGACUAUUUGCAGUUAUGACUGAAUGGGUCACCUUUAUUCCUGCACUAAAUGAAAGUGGUUCAUAUUUUUGUCGCUGCUACUAUUUCAUGGUUUUACAUUGGAAAUUAAUCAUAUCAUAUUGAUCCCUAAAGGCACACACCAAUUGCAGAAGGAAAGUUUAAUAUUUCACAAUCUUGGCAUAGUUAGGAGAAAACACAGACAUAAAUUGUAGUUGAAGGAUUCUUAUGGUAAAUUAAUUUGGAAUCUUUAUUCAUCAAAACCCAAGACUUUUGGCUAUGAGGUAUGCUGGCCGGGGGAUGGAAGUAUGCUCCAGCAAGAGCAAGGAGACCUGAUGCUGUGGUAGUGCCAAGCAGAGUGGGCCGCCUGGGCAGCAACAUGCCUUCACACAAACUGUGCUCUGCGUACAGCUGAAGGAAUUGAAGGAAUCUGACUGAGGACUAGAGAAGUUAAGUCACUGCAGACAGAUACAGAGAAGUGGCAAAGAAUGACUACAUCUUCCACUCAGGUUCCAACAUCAGCAGCAUGGAUGCCAUCUUUGACUCAUUUAUUUUCUUCAGUUUACAUCUAAUGAGCCAAGACUUUAAUUACUUCAACAAACAUUUAUUGAUCUGCUGCACUAUAUCAGACAAUGUUCUAGACUCUUGGGAUACAGCAGGAAACAAAGCAAACUAAGCUUCUAUUUUUGCAGAACUUAUACUUAGUGGGUGUAUGUAUUAGUCAGGGUCCCGUCAGAACAAGAAAUGAACCAAGAACAUUUAAUUGAAAGAAUUAUCAACUAAUUUCAGGCAUCUAACUAUUAAGGGAUAAAGGAACUCUAAAGAAUACCAGAAUAGCAGAUACAACUUCCAAGGCUGAGAGCACACCGAAGGAAGAAACAAAUUUGGAAAAGACUGCCCUCCCCUAAAGGCUGAGAUUCAGACCUUACUGGAAAGGAUGUGGAUGUAAUCCCAUUGGAUGGUACGGAUGGUAGAGACUUUGACUGAGAUGCCACUGGCAAGGACUGGCAAGCAGGAAACUGCCUGCUGGGGAAUGAUGUGCUUAGAAGCCACGCAUUGGGCACCGGCAAGCAUCCUGGGAUGCUUCCCACUGGAAUGCCACCAAGAUGUGCUCAGAAGCUUUUCACUGGGUAUCUGUGGCAUCAAGAGCCCAAAAUGGUCCAGUGGCAGGCUCAGUUUACAGUUUAAUGGAACCACUGUCGUGCUCCAUGGUGGAAGCCUUCCUUCCUUGGGGUCUAAGACCUCCAAAACAGCAGAGCUCAGGGUGUUCAGGAGAGAAAGCAGAAGCUAUGGGAGUGCCUUAUUAAGUAUAACAGUGAGAGAAGCCAUUUCAACGAUGACUCUUUGAUUUCAAGAACUAUGUAUGCUGGAUCUAGGGGACAAGGUGCCAUAAUGUGAUCUCUAAUUCAAGGAUAUACAGCAUCCUCUAAGAUGACUUCACUUGCCUCCCAGCUGGCACUGUAUCUGAGUUUUUCAUAAGCCAUUACACCUUCCAAUUGGACCAGCUGCUACUGGGUGAUGGAGUAUAUGGUAAGAGCUCUCUUGAAGCCCACAGAUGUGGAUUGAGGUAGAAGAGACAAUGUAAAAGAAGUUGACUUCAAAUCCAUCUGAGUCGCUGUGCAACCUGCUCAUACCUGUCAGACCUUUCUGUAGGUCUCUUAUAUAACACUGAUGGUAGAUUGCCUUUGUGAGUGACAAUUUUAUGGCAAGGCUUUUUGGAGUAAUUCAAGAUCGUUUCUGCCAGUGCCCAGGCAAUUAACUCUGUGGCUACAGUUCACCUGCUAACUUGAUAUCCCAUCAUAUUAUUAGAUGCUGAAACUUGAAUUUCAUCUAGCCCAGAAGUCUUUGAACUCAGUGAGGUAAAGAUUUCUCAUCUAUCAAGUCAAAUGCUGUGAUUUAUCUACAUUUUCAGAAUUAUAUACUGACUGAGUUGGGAUCAUCAUCAGCGUCAUCUUAUUUCAUAUCACUAUUAUCUCUCCUGUACCUGUAGGUCAGUUCUCUUUCUGGCAAGUGAUAGGGAAUAUUAAAACUGAAUGGGGAAAUAUUCCAAAAAUAAUAGAUUUGAUAUCUUCCUUCCAUGAUUACUUUUACUCUUUUAGCAACAUGCUGUUUCAAUUUAAUAACUUCUGGAGUGCCUUUUCUGGCAAAGCAUGUUCUUAAUACGGGCCAGGCAGAGAUAAUUGAGUUAGGUGUUUGCCAUAAGGAACCUUCCACCUUGGAAAAGAGUUACACGUGCUUUUGAAUAGCUGUAAUUAGAGGUCUACCACAGACACUGCCAAAAGGGAGGUGGGAAUCCAUCGUGAAGAAUGCCAGAGAAAAAUCAUUAACGAUGGCUCAGUAUGUGAAGAGAAACUUUAGCAUUUUGAUCCUUUUCAACCAAUGCCUAUUUUUAUGAGUAAAAUUCAAGCAUGCGUUGCCCAGUCCAGAAAUCUACAAUCUGUGAAAUGCAAUACAAGCAGCAUCCAGGAAAUCUCCAAAAUACAAAGUGGUGAUCAGUUUUCUGAACUCUGCUGGACUUAGAUUUUUCUCAAGCUUUAUAGUUCCUAAUUAUUCUAUAUGAUUAAGAGGCUCAAUAAUUACUAGGAUGCUCAUAAUUUAUUUUCAGACACUAUUUACCCCCAUUAUGUCGUCUUUGAUUCCCUCCCUCUCUCCGUUGCUUUAAUUUGUCCUUAGAACUCAAUUUAUCCCUCGUUCUUUUAAAAUAAAAUAGCGUUCCUUAUCCAACUGUCAAUAUCUUAUUCCUGUAUCUUAUUUUAUACAAUUUUAAGAUGAUUAUCUCAAGAUAGUUCUCAAAAUUCAUUUAAUCAUUUUUGCAAAUACAAUUUUAGACCUACCAAAUAUAUGCUGAAGCUGGAUCUCAAAUUCUAAUUAAACUGAGAUAAACUUAUGUGACCUUAAAAACCCCAAUGCAGGAGGCAGUUAUGUUUCUUUUUACUUUAAUUUAGAAGCAAUAUUUAAUAUGUCUCAAUUUAUAUUUGUUUAAUAGAUUUUCAUUAUUUCUCAAAGUAUAACAUCAUUUACUGAAAGUAUAUAUUCUACAGGUAUUUCUAUAUGUUAUUCAAUUAGAAAAAUGUAAUAAUUUUAUUAAUUUGAUAUCAUUUUUAAUAUGGUGGCAGGUUUGGUAUAUCUUACUAAAUCAGCAAAUACAGUUAUGGGUAAUAUAAUUACAUUGUAGCUAUAAAUAUAAAUGUCUAAUUAGACACAUUUCCCUGUAGAGAGAUAGGGGAUGUAUAGUCGUGUUGAGGUUUGGCAUGUGUUUUAUUAUUUCGCUACUAAAUGACUUCAUAGGGCUUUCCUAAAAGGAAAGCAGGGUAUUUAUCUUUUUGAUGUCUUUAUUCCUGAAGAUAUCUUUACGGAUAAUUAAAAUAUUAAGUUUCAAAGACUUGCACUUAGUAUGUUUAUCAGUCAGAGUACCAGCCAGAAACAGACAGCAAGCUAAAAUUAGGCUAACUGAAGGCGGGUUUAAUAAAGGAACUAAAUAUGAAGUAGGCGAGAUGGAAGGAAACGUCACGAGACAGCCAGAACUCCCAGGUUGGUGGGAGUGGUGCUCAUCAGCCCUGACCUUUCCGAUGAGCCUGGGGAGGGAGCAGUUUUGGAACCUCGAAAGGAAGCUUGCUGUGGAGAGGGCUGCCUUGGAAGAAGGUUCGUUUGGUUGAGGGACAUGGGCAACGACAAAGUAAGAGAGCAAGGGAAUAAAUGUUCCAAUAUCUUCUUCCAUGGAUCUUUGGAAGGAUUUCCCUAUUGACUAAAUCCAACCAAGAGCCUGAGCACAUGGGUGUCCUUGACGUGGUUUGUACAAGUCAAUCUUCAGAGACCCAAGCGCAGGGUGGAUCUGGGAGGCAAACAGAG
rnacentral:lncRNA from 1 species